rnacentral:snRNA from 1 species
UAUCUUGCACAAGAAUAGAACGCGAGCCGAUGAGGUUUUACCGAUGGACGCGUAUUUGCUGAUUGCAAACUAACAAGCUUUACUGACAUGUGCGAAAGCGCACGUCGAAUAUUUGCCACCCCUUGCGGG